rnacentral:rRNA from 1 species
UACAGAGGGGGCAAGCGUUGUUCGGAAUUACUGGGCGUAAAGGGCGCGUAGGCGGCCUGUUAAGUCGAACGUGAAAUCCCCGGGCUCAACCCGGGAACUGCGCCCGAUACUGGCAGGCUUGAAUUCGGGAGAGGGAUGUGGAAUUCCAGGUGUAGCGGUGAAAUGCGUAGAUAUCUGGAGGAACACCGGUGGCGAAGGCGGCAUCCUGGACCGAUAUUGACGCUGAGGCACGAAAGCGUGGGUAGCAAACAGG